GCGUGUGCACCGCUCGUGGCUCUUUUGGUUACGUUCAAGCCUUGACCAGCGCCCGCAGAUACGGUGCAGUUCCUUACGUUAUUUUACUCUCACGGAACCACAAGGCCUGCUGGCUUCCAUUGUUUUUGUCUAGUCAAGAGCAAACUUCUGUGGGCAGCCAGUAGUAUCCAAGAGGGAAGGGACCUGGAUUGCUGUGGUUACUGCAGCUGCGUCUUAUUUUAUGUGGUCACCUUUACUACUGUAUUUAAAAAUUUUGUAAAAUCAUUCUGCAUGUCCUUUAAUUUAUUAGUCAAUAAAGCCGCUUUCUCACAA